GGUGUUUACAUCACCACAUUUUUCCUUAAAUUUUUAAAAUCCAAACAACUGAGUUUACCGAUCUUAUCAAGUCAGCCAGCAAGCACUAAGGUUUAUGUUACCCUUUCGUUCUGUUGCAGGUCCGCGUUGGAGAAGAUUUACAGCAUAUCAUACUGGUGGUACACAUGGCUAGGGCUGAUAAUUACGGUCUUUGUCGGAGUCAUCGUCAGUUUUGCGACAGGAUAUACGCCACCUAAAGAGAUAGAUAGAAAAUAUAUCCUCCCGGCAAUUGCUCAGAUAUCUUGUUUUGGAGAGGACGAAAAAGAUUUUGCUGUAGAAAAUGCCCCACUAAGGACUUUGAACCACAAUGAUGACGACAGCGAUAAGGAGAAAGAGGAAACAAUUGAAAAUCUCCGAGAUGACUAUAGCAAAUAAAGAUUUUUUAAAGUAUAUUUGUUCUCCACGUGGAAUAAAGGUGUCGUAAAGUGCAUAUCAGCUAUUUAUCAGGCAAUACAGCCUAAAAUAGACGUGCGUUAUCAUGACUUUGGGUUAUCAAGUAUGUACACAGCGCCGUUAAAACUUGUUGUAUUUUAAUUAACAGCUCCGUAAAUUACAUGACGGAUAAUACAUGAUAGGGGUAUACGGAAUAAGCUAAAACAAUGGGGCCGUCUAACCCGCAACUUUGGGGUUAUAUCGGAUCUAAAAUCGUAAUGUGAUUUUCUAUUUCUGCAGCACGGAGCUGUUCAAUAUGGUAAUGGAAAUUGUAACUUAGCCAGUCUAAUCUAUAGGCCUGCG